UCAUUCUAGCGGCGGACGGGUGAGUAACGCGUGAGCAACCUGCCUAUCACAGGGGAAUAACGCACCGAAAGGUGUGCUAAUACCGCAUGAGACCACAAGAUCGCAUGGUCAAGGGGUCAAAGAUUUUAUCGGUGAUAGAUGGGCUCGCGUCUGAUUAGCUAGUUGGUGAGGUAACGGCCCACCAAGGCGACGAUCAGUAGCCGACCUGAGAGGGUGAUCGGCCACAUUGGAACUGAGAAACGGUCCAAACUCCUACGGGAGGCAGCAGUGGGGAAUAUUGGGCAAUGGGCGCAAGCCUGACCCAGCAACGCCGCGUGAAGGAAGAAGGUCUUCGGGUCGUAAACUUCUAUCCUUGGUGAAGAUAAUGACGGUAGCCAAGAAGGAAGCCCCGGCUAACUACGUGCCAGCAGCCGCGGUAAUACGUAGGGGGCAAGCGUUGUCCGGAAUGAUUGGGCGUAAAGGGCGCGUAGGCGGCCUGUUAAGUCUGGAGUGAAAUUCCCGCUUUUAAGGUGGGAACUGCUUUGGAUACUGAUGGGCUUGAGUGCAGGAGAGGUAAGCGGAAUUCCCGGUGUAGCGGUGAAAUGCGUAGAGAUCGGGAGGAACACCAGUGGCGAAGGCGGCUUACUGGACUGUAACUGACGCUGAGGCGCGAAAGUGUGGGGAGCAAACAGGAUUAGAUACCCUGGUAGUCCACACUGUA
rnacentral:rRNA from 1 species